UCCAGGAUCCUGCUGGCUAUUAUCUCUAUCCAGUAAGAAGAAAGUGAGCCAUGGAGUUGGAACCAUCUUCACAGGACAUGGUGUCAGAUAGCGAAGAGCAAAUAAUUCACCUGAAGAAGUGGAGAGGUUAAACAAGGCACAUCAAGUUCUCCCAUCCCAGAAAGCACCACAUCCCCAGACUCAUGUGACAUGGCCGCCUCACGGGGCAAUAGGAGGUCAUUGGAAGGAGGGUUUUCAAGACCUCAGCCAUGGUCUCCCGUACAACACAGAGAGAGGAUUUUUGUGGCUGGCAGAAUUGUGAGUUCUGGGCUAACAACAUUCCUGCAGCUGAAGGACAAUGCCUACUUGUAUGUAACACGGAAACAGGUGCUCCCUUUGUGCUGUGUGUGGAGUCAGAGAAGAACCAGGGAGAAGUCAUGCCUACACUGAGUGUGAAAUAAGUGAGAAGAAGAAAGCAGACGAGUCAGAAGCAAUAGCAAUACACAGAGUGCAGAGACAUGGUGGGAGGGGUCAGGGUGCUCCAACAGCCAAUACUUGAUCCUCUACUCUUCUUUUCCUUCACCCCUGGCAUCCAUGUUGGCACCAAGAUCCGUAAUCUCUAGUUCCUUGCCAUCUUCCCAGCCUGCCCAUGUCUAUUUCCACUGCUCUGUCAUUUCUUAAUUGUUACUGUAUCCGUUUUGUAGCCACUCCCACCACAGGAUAAUACAACCCCUCCCCCCAUACUUUCACAGCCCUGCCUACUACCCC
rnacentral:lncRNA from 1 species